rnacentral:rRNA from 1 species
AUUGAACGCUGGCGGCAUGCCUUACACAUGCAAGUCGAACGGUAACGGGCCUUCGGGUGCCGACGAGUGGCGAACGGGUGAGUAAUGCAUCGGAACGUACCUUUCAGUGGGGGAUAACGUAGCGAAAGUUACGCUAAUACCGCAUAUUCUGUGAGCAGGAAAGCAGGGGAUCGCAAGAACUUGCGCUGAUUGAGCGGCCGAUGUCAGGUUAGCUAGUUGGUGAGGUAAAGGCUCACCAAGGCGACGAUCUGUAGCGGGUCGGAGAGGAUGAUCCGCCACACUGGAACUGAGACACGGUCCAGACUCCUACGGGAGGCAGCAGUGGGGAAUUUUGGACAAUGGGGGCAACCCUGAUCCAGCCAUGCCGCGUGAGUGAAGAAGGCCUUCGGGUUGUAAAGCUCUUUCGGUCGGGAAGAAAUCGCAUGGGUUAAUACCCUGUGCGGAUGACGGUACCGGCAUAAGAAGCACCGGCUAACUACGUGCCAGCAGCCGCGGUAAUAC